AUGGAAAGAGGUGGCGAGAAGAGGGGAGACAAGGUACCGCGGUUCAGGGGGAAGGUGAGGACCGAGAAAGUGCUGACAGACAAGGCAGCGCCGGCAGGGAACGAGGAGGUGCAGGGCGAAGAGAGGGUGCGGAGCGAUCGGAAGGCCAAUGGCGAGGAGAGUUCCCAAGGCAAAGAAAGGGUCGCCAACGAGAAGGGGCGGGGUCACAGGAGGGGGCGGGGCAAAGAACGGGCUUGGGAAGAACAUCUCCCCCAGGAUGAGGGGGGAGGGCGGAUCGAUAAGGGGAGGGACAAGGCGCAGAAGACUAGCGAGGGGCAAGCUACAGGCGAGAAGUCGAAGCGAGGACAGGGGAAGAGGUGGGGCGUGGGGAAGGUACAGGUUCGGGAGAGGGACGGGUCUAGAGGCAGGAUCUUGUACCUGGGCAGGGCCCGAGCACGGAGAAAGGGGCGGUGCGGAGAAAUGUGGGGGGGCGGGGCAAGACGUGGGGGCGGAGCCAGGCCCAGGUAUGCGAGGAGAGGAACUGGGGGCAAUAAGUGGGGCAUAGCUAAACCGGGAAACAGAAAUAGAGACCGACUGAAGAGUAGGUGUCGGAGGCAGAGCACAGGCAGAGCAAAGAAGGAUAGGACAAAGUUAAGGGGUGAGGCUGGGAGGCGGGGCGAAACCAGAGGUAGGGGCAUGGCCAGGAGCAACAGUAGGGGAGAGCCCUGGAGUAGCCGCAGAGGCGGGGUCCAGAAGAGCAGUAGUUGCCCGCCGGAGGUCUGGAGCAGAGGUGGAACCAGGAGCAAGAAUAGGAGAGAAGCCAGGAGCAAGAGCACAGGCGGAGCCGGGAGCAAAAACAGGAGAGAAGCCAGGAGCGAGAGCAGGAGAGGAACGUGGAGCAAGAACAGGCGAGAAGCCAGGAGCGAGAGCAGGAAAGGAACCUGGAGCAAGAACAGGACCGGAGCCAGGAGCAAAAGUAGGAGUGAGGCUAGGAGCAAGAAUAGGGGUGGGGCCAGACAUCUGAGCAGAGGCGGGACCAGGAGCAGGGACUGGGCGGGGCGCAGGAAGAAGGCGGGAUCUAAGACGGCGCCUACCAAGAACAGUCUGGCCGGCUGGUGA
rnacentral:lncRNA from 1 species